GUCUGGGGGUGGCUGGCUCCAGUCCUACUCCCAGACUUGUUCAGUCUAAAGGGUUUUGUGUACACAAGCAAUUCUUUAUAGCGUUUAGCCAAGAUUUCAAAGUUCAGCAUGCUAUUAGCCACUUACCGAGCAUCUGUGGCAGCAAGGAAUCUCUCAGCCUCGAGGAGAAACCUCGGGAGGCAUCCCUGCCCAAGGGGAGAUCCCACCCUGCACCCGCUGCCGUGCAGGAGAGCUCAAGGGGCUCUUGGGCAGCUCACUAUUUAUGGGGUAAGAUGGUUGGCUCACAGUCAGGCCUACGUACCGGCUGCAGGUGUUAGUUUCUGCCAAGCGUGGCCUGAGUCGGAUGCUAAUUAGCGCUCUGGGUAGGUGGACAGGGACCUGCAUCCAUAAAUUCGCUCUCGGCUAUUGCGUGGAUAUCUGUUUCCUGGGACUCCGCUUUGAGCCGGAUGCAGCCGUCGCAACCAGGUGCAUCUUAUCACGACUAUCACUGGUGCUUAUCACUCGAGCAGAGCCGGGGGCAAAGAUCGGGUGAGGGGGAGCACACCGCCACAGCCGGGACCCUCUGUGCCACGUGAGGAAGCUGGGCUGCGCAACCGGCUCCAGCGAUAUGAUGAAAUCUGGAGCUAGAGAGGAGAAAUCGUUUGACACAGGGCCAUGACAAACUCUGUGGCUGGAUGUACUUCAGACAGCAAGAUGGAUGGGUUGGGUAACGACCCCCUCUGGGAUACAUCCUGGGCUGACGCAUGAUGAAUGGAGAGGCAGCGGAGAGCUCUCAGCGCCCCACGAACACGCAGCACGAGCAGCGGAUGCUUCAAAGAUGCCGAGAAGAGGCAGCAGCGCUCGCUGGGGCUCUGCCGUGUUUGCCCCACGCCGCCGCUCCAGUCGAUGGGGUUUUGAGUGAUGGUUGAGCCUCGGGACGUCAGGUCUGGGUGUCGGGGUGUCAGGGGUCCGUGGUGCCGGACCGGGGCUUGGCGCUGCGUUUCGGGUCGGUGAGGGCUGGCUGAGGGCACCUGGGCUGCGGCGUCUCUUGCGCAGAACGCGGCGUGCGGAAUAUCCCGGCAAACCCUCAGUAUAUACAUUUUAACCCGUUGACAAACGAAAAUGAGGAUUUGCGAGGUGACGAAGCGCUGCCGUGUAUCGAUGCCGCCGCAGGGCUGCGAGGGGCGGCGGCCGUCGGCGCAGGGAGGGUUUUGCAACCUGUUGUUAAGAAGAAACUCAAACGGGAGCUUACAGCGGCCGAAAGCUCCCCGGCACCGCGUCCCUGCUCCUCCAAAAUCCAGACAGAGAGGGAAACCUUAAAGAAACUGUAUUUAUUAACUGUAUGAUCACACUUGGCAUAUUCUAUUACUAAGGGGUCCUGGUACAUAGAUAUUAUUCACUUAAGUAAUCAAUCACUGCCAACAAAUUACAGGAUACAGGGAAUGAAAUUAGCAAAAUGAACUAUGGAUGUAAAAUUCAUUUGAAAUUCAAUUUAGGAGCAACAUUAGCUUUCAAUUAGUCUGCCCAACUGUUUGAGCAUCAUUCUCUCUAUCAGAUUUUUAAAUAAAUGUAAUUAACCUUUGCUGUUAAA